GAGGCAAUAACAGGUCUGUGAUGCCCUUAGUUAUCCUAGGUCGCACGCGCCAUACAAUGUGGCGCACAACGAGUUUCCUAGGCCGAUAGGAUUGUCUCUUAGCCAGGAUCUUGAGGGAUCCGCGUGACAUCAUGGGCAUGCAGAUGACUGCUUCGAUCAUGAGUCGUUGCGACGGUCUUGCUGUGAUGUUGUCACAGCUAAGAGACACUGGGCAAUCUGAGAGAGCGCUACGUGACUGGGCUAGACUUUUGUAAUUGUUGGUCUUGAACGAGGAAUGCCUAGUAAUCGUAGGUCAUUAUCCUGCGAUGAUUAUGUCCCUGCCCUUUGCACACACCGCCCGUCGCUCCUGCCGUGGCUCGUGCCGGUGAAGAGGGGGAGGCAGCGUCAACGGAGUAACAUCUGAUUGUACGUGGAACCCCUCUGAACCUUCGCGAGUAGAGGAAGGAGAAGUCGUAACAAGGUUUUCGUAGGUGAACCUGCGAAAGGAUCAUUAU
rnacentral:rRNA from 2 species